rnacentral:lncRNA from 1 species
UUUGACUCCCAGACGUCCUGGGCCGUGGUCUCUACUCCGCGUGCUUUCCCAAGAGGAAACCGUAGUUGGAACACCUUGACCAGCCCUCUCUCCAAACCAGGAUGUAAUAACAAGCUCCCGCACAGCUUGAAGAGAAUGAAGAAGGGCAGGCAUACUCAGACAGCGCAUACAUUCAAGGUUUUGGCUUGCUGGAGGCUCCACAGUUCUUCCUGGGAGAACUGGCACUCAUUGGAGGACCACAUCUCCAGUUCAUCCAGGAGAGCCUAGUGAUGUGAACCAGGUUAAAGCCUGCAAUGAGUUGCCAUAGAGUUCAAACAGCACUUUACUGUCUGAGACACCUGAAAGCCUCUUGCUCAAAAAUGUUUAUUUAUCCCACUGCUUAACAAAAUCUUUUUGCAGCCACG